GUUUUAGGUUGUCAAGAGGGAUUUAUCUUCAGACAUUUCUUAUGCUUCCUUGGCAGGGGACUAAGCAGUCUAUAAGAGACAGAAUUGGAAAUAACGUAGAUGUUUAUGGAUAUGGCAACAAGCGUUGUGUUUGCUGUUUCUUCCCUGCAGUACAUCCAGCGCCAGUACAACCACCACCUGAUUUGUUGAGCUUGGACGAUCCUGUUCCAGCAGCUGCCGAGCUGGAAGUCAAAAAUGCUUUGCCUUUAGCUAUUGUUCCCGUUGGUAAUUUUUUUUUCUUUCCCCCAUUUUUAUAAAUAUGCCGGACAAAAUCUUGUUGAUUUGCAUUUGUGAAACUUUAGAAUAAAUAGUGAUGGAUUCAUAGAGGAAGUGGACUGAACUGGUUUCUUUUCAAAUUUCAAUCAUAGUGAUGUUUUGCAUUAUUUGGUUCAAACUGCUUAAUAUUAGAAGCUGCGGUGUGUGCACAUUUUAAUAGUGGUUAAUCAUAUGUGAACAAUGUUCCAGUAGUAUUUUCCAUUUUCUGCAAUUUAUUGUUAUUUUAUAUUAGAAUGUUCCAAUCCAUAUUCACAACAGAUUAAAACAUACAUGCCUUGGUGUGGAUUGGAUAAUGCCUCUAUGAAUGGUGAUUUCAGCUGAUCAAACAACAUCUGCUGUUCCAAAUCAAACAAAUGGAACUACAGGAUGGAAAUUGGUGUUAGACAUUUUAUAAAUAACCAGAAAUUUACGUAUCUCUAGCCAUUGCCAAUAAAAUCUUUGAUAUAAUUUGGAACAUCCAAAAUUUGAAUCACCAAACCAGAUAGAAUCAAAAUGUGUUUGUUUUUGUUGUUUAAUCAGAAUUGAGGACCCAAACUUUAUAAAAUUUAUGAACAGUCGUAUUCUUUUCAUCAAAGAACAAACCAACUGCCAAUAUAAUUAGUUAAUAAUUACAACAUCACUCAAACUAAUUUCUAUAUUAACAAAUUUGAUCACAAUUAGAAUAAAAAUUCUAACAAUCGGCACUUGUUACGACUCCUAGUUCAAAUGAAAGUGCUACAGCAACUAGCAAACUGGUAUGUUUUUGGUCUACAAAAAGUAAAACUUUAUUCACUUUUCAGUUAACUUUAUUCACAUGUUACUUUUCUGUCACCUUUUGCUUGCGCAGAGAGGAGAUAUAACAAGUAUGCAACCUGGGCUUGAUGCUAUUAAGUUCUCUGAGCAGUGUAUUUACUCUUGCAUCUUUAUAGUUGAGGAAAGUGAGUGAGAAAAUCAGGGCAAUAGAAUAAUGAUAGGAUGAGAAGAUUACUUGUUGCACUCUAUUUAUAUAUAUUUAUCUAUUUAUAUAUAUGAAUGAAGUGAUGUGUAGCUCAUCUUUUUUUAUUUUUUAUUUUUUGACCUUUUUUUAACCCUUCUCUAGAGUACAACUACUGUCUAUAUUAUUCGAAUAAAGAUUAGUUAUUAUUGUACAAAGACACUUAAAGGAAGAAGAAGAAAAUCACUGCAUUUUUAAUUAUUAUAACCCUAUAGAAUAAAAUCUAUAUAAUAGGUUGUUGUUAAUCUUGUUAUUUUAUCAUUCUCCCUUUUGAAAAUAGAAUUAGAAAUUGUAUUUGACUAUUUUUUGUUCUUGUUCUUUUAUGUGUUAACUUUUUGCUAGAAUUUUCCUAUUUAAGUUAAAUUACUCUGCACCCUUCAGCUUCGGUUAACAGAGAGAUUGAUUCUUCUAUUAGCAAAGAAUUCAUUUAGUUCAAACUUUCUAAACUUUCACCAUGCAGUUUAAUUCAUAAACAUGAGUAUAAUCACAAUUAUAAGUUGAUGUUAAUUGUUUGUUAUGCUUAUUAUUGUUAAGUUGGUGAUCUCCAGAGCCUCAUGUUGAAGAGAAACCAUCUGAGAAGCCAUCUGAGGGCUCUAUCAACCGAGCUAUGUUAAUUUUCAUUGUGAAAAUUUUGAUUUUUCUUUAAUGCAACAUUAUCAUCAAAUUACAGAUUAUGAAACAUGUUUUUUUCAUUUUUCUUUUUUUGGGGUCUGCAGAAUGCUGUGCUUGCAAGAGUUGCAACGGAGAAGAGGGUGUCACUAGUCAAAGCAUGGGAAGAAAGUGAAAGGUCAAAAGCAGAAAACAAGUAUAACUGUCAUAUUGGGAUGUAUAAGAGGAGAAAUGAGGAGUCUUUGGCAGAAGUCCAGGCCGGAUUAUAGCUGAAACUGAAGAAAUGGAAUGAGGCUUAUGUUAGCUGUUACAAGAAGGUUAGGGCGUCAAAUAGUUUCAGUGCUGUUCCACUAUCACCGCUGCUGCCGCCACCCUCAAUAUCUUCGGAUGAGGACUAUGAUGAUAAGGAUGAAGAUGACACUGAAGAUUAUAGUUGAUAGUUUUAGUUUGGUUGAACAAUACACUGAGAAUUAUAUUUAAUGAUAUGUGGCAAGGAGGAGAAAACAGUAGACAUGCAAUAUUACUCCGUCUAUGAACAAGAGCAGUGUGGUUCGCGGCACACAUACAAUACUUGCCUUCAACCAGCUCAGUAACAUCAUAUGCUCAGUAGCUUUGGGAGAUUUUUCAAAGAAUUAAGAGGGAAGGAAAGGAGAGACAAGAUGAGAUGAUUAGUAGCAUAGGCUAUUUAAGUUAUAGUGUGCGAAAAGCAAGAAACAAGUAUAUAUAUAUGUUCCAAAACCAUGAUAUAAACCCAAAAGAAGCAAUUAAUAGAGCAUCAAGAUUACAAGCAAGAUUCAAUAGAGCAAGAGAUAGCCUAGCAAAUAAUCAGCAAAUCAGAGAAAGAAGGAAUGCUAGGCAGGUUACCUGGAAGCCUCUGCCAGAAGAUUGCGUAAAAGCCAAUGUUAAUGCUUCUGUGAGUAAAGAACGAGGAAUGUAGCCAAUGCAAUAGUUAUCAGAGGGUGGAGAGGAAACUCGGUUACUGGCACAGCUAAAAGAACUAUGAUAAAUUCUUGCAUUGCAGUACAGGCCCAUGCGUUUAGAGAAGCAGCGAUCAUGGUCAAGAAUCUAAACAUUGACAAAGCUCUAACAACCUGUUUGAAAACUUUUCAUGAUAUUGAUUGAAUUAAAUUCUAUUAAAAAUUACAUUUUA